rnacentral:rRNA from 1 species
UACGAAGGUGGCUAGCGUUGUUCGGAAUUACUGGGCGUAAAGCGCACGUAGGCGGAUUUGUUAGUCAGGGGUGAAAUCCCGGGGCUCAACCUCGGAACUGCCUUUGAUACUGCAAGUCUCGAGUCCGGAAGAGGUGAGUGGAAUUCCUAGUGUAGAGGUGAAAUUCGUAGAUAUUAGGAAGAACACAAGUGGCGAAGGCGGCUCACUGGUCCGGUACUGACGCUGAGGUGCGAAAGCGUGGGGAGCAAACAGG